CGCCAGACUCCUACGGGAGGCAGCAGUGAGGAAUAUUGGUCAAUGGGCGCGAGCCUGAACCAGCCAAGUCGCGUGAGGGAAGACGGUCCUAUGGAUUGUAAACCUCUUUUGUCGGGGAGCAAAAGACGUCACGUGUGGCGUUCCGAGAGUACCCGAAGAAAAAGCAUCGGCUAACUCCGUGCCAGCAGCCGCGGUAAUACGGAGGAUGCGAGCGUUAUCCGGAUUUAUUGGGUUUAAAGGGUGCGUAGGCGGGCAGUCAAGUCAGCGGUAAAAAUGCGGUGCUCAACGCCGUACAGCCGUUGAAACUGGCAGUCUUGAGUGGGCGAGAAGAAGGCGGAAUGCGUGGUGUAGCGGUGAAAUGCAUAGAUAUCACGCAGAACCCCGAUUGCGAAGGCAGCCUUCCGGCGCCCUACUGACGCUGAGGCACGAAAGUGCGGGGAUCGAACAGGAUUAGAUACCCCGGUAUC
rnacentral:rRNA from 1 species